rnacentral:rRNA from 1 species
UGAGUACGAGAUGCUACGGCAUCGAAGCAGUCUAUGUCAUACUUCCAAGAAAAGCUUGCACUGUCAGAAACAGAUAAUGCCUGUACCAUAACCGACACAGGUGGGUAGGUAGAGUAUACUAAGGGGCGCGAGAUAACUCUCUCUAAGGAACUCGGCAAAAUGACUCCGUAACUUCGGGAGAAGGAGUGCCUUAUUUUUAAGGUUGCAAUAACAAGAUCCAAGCAACUGUUUACCAAAAACACAGGUCUCCGCUAAGUCGUAAGACGAUGUAUGGGGGCUGACGCCUGCCCAGUGCCAGAAGGUUAAAGAAGUCGGUUAGCAUUCGCGAAGCUGGUAACUGAAGCCCUGGUGAACGGCGGCCGUAACUAUAACGGUCCUAAGGUAGCGAAAUUCCUUGUCGGGUAAGUUCCGACCCGCACGAAAGGCGUAAUGAUUUGGAUACUGUCUCGGAGAGGGGCUCGGUGAAAUAGACUUGUCUGUGAAGAUGCGGACUACCUGCACCUGGACAGAAAGACCCUAUGAAGCUUUACUGUAACUUGAAAUUGAAAUUGGACUUUAUUUGCUCAGUAUAGGUGGGAGGCGUUGAAAAUAUUCUUGCGGGAAUAUUGGAGCCAUCAGUGAGAUACCACUCUUGUAAUGUUAGAUUUCUAACUUUAUAUCAUUAUCUGGUUAAAGAACAGUUUCAGGCGGGCAGUUUGACUGGGGCGGUCGCCUCCCAAAUGGUAACGGAGGCGCACAAAGGUUUCCUCUGAACGGGUAGAAAUCGUAUCUAGAGUGUAAAGGCAUAAGGAAGCUUGACUGUGAGACCUACAAGUCGAGCAGGGACGAAAGUCGGUCUUAGUGAUCUGACGGUGCUGAGUGGAAAGGCCGUCACUCAACGGAUAAAAGUUACUCUAGGAUAACAGGCUGAUCUCCCCCAAGAGUUCACAUCGACGGGGAGGUUUGGCACCUCGAUGUCGGCUCAUCGCAUCCUGGGGCGGUAGUACGUCCCAAGGGUUGGGCUGUUCGCCCAUGAAAGCGGUACGCGAGCUGGGUUCAGAACGUCGUGAGACAGUUCGGUCCAUAUCCGGUGUAGGCGUUAGAAUAUUGAGAGGAGCCUUCUUUAGUACGAGAGGACCGAGAAGGACAUACCUCUGGUGUACCAGUUAUCGUGCCAACGGUAAACGCUGGGUAGCUAUGUAUGGAGUGGAUAACCGCUGAAAGCAUCUAAGUGGGAAGCCCACCUCAAGAUAAG